rnacentral:siRNA from 1 species
ACGACGAGUAUAUUUAGGCCCGGU